UACGUAGGUGGCAAGCGUUGUCCGGAAUUAUUGGGCGUAAAGCGCGCGCAGGCGGUCUUUUGAGUCUGAUGUGAAAGCCCACGGCUCAACCGUGGAGGGUCAUUGGAAACUGGGGGACUUGAGUGCAGGAGAGAAGAGUGGAAUUCCACGUGUAGCGGUGAAAUGCGUAGAGAUGUGGAGGAACACCAGUGGCGAAGGCGACUCUUUGGCCUGUAACUGACGCUCAUGCACGAAAGCGUGGGGAGCAAACAGG
rnacentral:rRNA from 1 species